UCGCACCUACCGAUUGGAUGGUCCGGUGAGAAUUUCGGAUUGUCUUGUUGUCGCUUUUAUUAGGGAUCAUGAGACGAGAAGUUAUUCAAACCUUACCAUCUAGAGGAAGGUG
rnacentral:rRNA from 1 species